GAGGGUAUAGCUUAGUGGUAGAGCGCGUGCUUAGCAUACAUAGGGUUCUGGGUUCAAUCCCCAGUACCUCCA
rnacentral:tRNA from 1 species